GUAGUAGUGGUUAGAACCCCACGUUGAGGCCGUGGAGACGUGAGUUCGAUUCUCGCCUUUCACC
rfam:Brassica napus, WGS project CCCW01000000 data, contig: 5905